UGAGUACGAGCUGCUACGGCAGCGAAGUGGGUGAUGUCAAGCUUCCAAGAAAAGCCCUAUACCCGUUAAGGCAUGACGGCCUGUACCCGAAACCGACACAGGUGGGGUGGUAGAGAAUACCGAGGGGCGCGAGAUAACUCUCUCUAAGGAACUCGGCAAAAUGGCCCCGUAACUCCGGGAGAAGGGGUGCCACCGCAAGGUGGUCGCAGUGAAGAGGCCCAGGCGACUGUUUACCAAAAACACAGGUCUCCGCUAAGUCGCAAGACGAUGUAUGGGGGCUGACGCCUGCCCAGUGCCGGAAGGUUAAGGAAGCUGGUCAGCGCAAGCGAAGCUAGCGACUGAAGCCCCGGUGAACGGCGGCCGUAACUAUAACGGUCCUAAGGUAGCGAAAUUCCUUGUCGGGUAAGUUCCGACCCGCACGAAAGGCGUAACGAUCUGGGCGCUGUCUCGGAGAGAGGCUCGGCGAAAUAGAAUUGUCUGUGAAGAUGCGGACUACGUGCACCCGGACAGAAAGACCCUAUGAAGCUUUACUGUAGCUUGGUAUUGUGCCCGGGCUCUGAAUGCGCAGGAUAGGUGGGAGGCUUUGAUCCAUGGCUUGCGGGUCAUGGUGAGCCAACGGUGAGAUACCACUCUUUCAGAGCUAGGGUUCUAACAGCCACCCGUUAUCCGGGGGCUGGACAGUAUCAGGUGGGCAGUUUGACUGGGGCGGUCGCCUCCUAAAAGGUAACGGAGGCGCGCAAAGGUUUGCUCAGGCUGGUUGGAAAUCAGCCGACGAGUGCAAAAGCAGAAGCAAGCUUGACUGUGAGACCAACAAGUCGAACAGGGACGAAAGUCGGCUUUAGUGAUCCGACGGUUCUGAGUGGAAGGGCCGUCGCUCAACGGAUAAAAGUUACUCUAAGGAUAACAGGCUGAUCUCCCCCAAGAGUUCACAUCGACGGAGAGGUUUGGCACCUCGAUGUCGGCUCAUCGCAACCUGGGGCUGAAGUCGGUCCCAAGGGUUGGGCUGUUCGCCCAUUAAAGCGGUACGCGAGCUGGGUUCAGAACGUCGUGAGACAGUUCGGUCCAUAUCCGGUGCAUGCGUAAGAACAUUGAGAGGAGUUCUCCCUAGUACGAGAGGACCGGGAGGAACGCACCUCUGGUGUACCAGUUAUCGUGCCAACGGUAAACGCUGGGUAGCCAUGUGCGGAGAGGAUAACCGCUGAAAGCAUCUAAGUGGGAAGCCCACCUCAAGAUGAGUGUUCUCAUGGCUUAAGCCAGUAAGGUCACGGGAAGAACACCCGUUGAUAGGCUCUACGUGGAAGCGCAGCAAUGUGUGAAGCGGAGGAGUACUAAUAGACCGAGGGCUUGACC
rnacentral:rRNA from 1 species